UACAGAGGGGGCAAGCGUUGUUCGGAAUUACUGGGCGUAAAGGGCGCGUAGGCGGCCCGCUAAGUCGAACGUGAAAUCCCUGGGCUCAACCCAGGAACUGCGUCCGAUACUGGCGGGCUUGAAUCCGGGAGAGGGAUGUGGAAUUCCAGGUGUAGCGGUGAAAUGCGUAGAUAUCUGGAGGAACACCGGUGGCGAAGGCGGCAUCCUGGACCGGUAUUGACGCUGAUGCGCGAAAGCCAGGGGGAGCAGACGGG
rnacentral:rRNA from 1 species